rnacentral:rRNA from 1 species
GAGCGGUAACAGGGGAAGCUUGCUUCCCGCUGACGAGCGGCGGACGGGUGAGUAAUGUAUGGGGAUCUGCCCGAUAGAGGGGGAUAACUACUGGAAACGGUGGCUAAUACCGCAUAAUCUCUUAGGAGCAAAGGAGGGGACCUUCUGGCCUUGCGCUGUCUGAUGAACCCAUAUGGGAUUAGCUAGUAUGUAAGGUAAUGGCUUACCUAGGCUACGAUCCCUAGCUGGUCUGAGAGGAUGAUCAACCACACUGGGACUGAGACACGGCCCAAACUCCUACGGGAGGCAGCAGUGGGGAAUAUUGCACAAUGGGCGCAAGCCUGAUGCAGCCAUGCCGCGUGUAUGAAGAANGCCCUAGGGUUGUAAA